GUCUACAGUCAUGCCACCCUGAACGUGCCUGACCCCGUCUGAUCUUGGAAGCUAAGCAGGGUUGAGUCUGGUUAGUACUCUGGUUAGUACCACCUAAGGAAGACCAGGUGCUGUAGGCA
rnacentral:rRNA from 1 species